AUUCGAGUAGGCUGGCAAGCCCCAGGAAGAAGGCUGGCAGUCAGAGUGGCCACUACAGCUCUCUGCAGCAGACCCUCUUCCCAGGCCAGACAGCUCAGCCUUGGCCAGAUCAUUACGGGAGAAGAACAUGGUCAUGGUCAGGAAGUGAAUCCUGGAUGGAUCCCUACAAGACGUGGUGUUGGCACAAUUGCAAGACGAGCAAUUGUGUGGGCGCACAAGUCAGACAUCUCCCCAGAGCCUAAGGCCCUCUGCAUCAUGGUUGUCUAGCAGGAGAACGGAGUCUCACAACUUUGCUAGCACUUGCUGCAUUUUGAAAUUCUGGAGAGAAGAGAGAGCGCAUUUUUCGAAGCAAGGUGUCUUCUAAACAGCAACAGGGCACAGACUUGUAAUACCUGAAAUGUGGUGCACUGUAGAAAAACAUUUUGAAACAAAGACUUCCAAGCUAGAUGGAGAUGGCUGGAAAGUUUUUCACUCUGCAAAGC